GAUGAACGCUGGCGGCGUGCCUAAUACAUGCAAGUCGAGCGAUCUUCUUCGGAAGAGAGCGGCGGACGGGUGAGUAACGCGUGGGUAACCUGCCCUGUACACACGGAUAACAUACCGAAAGGUAUGCUAAUACGGGAUAACAUAUGAAAGUCGCAUGACUUUCAUAUCAAAGCUUUUGUGGUAUAGGAUGGACCCGCGUCUGAUUAGCUAGUUGGUGAGGUAAUGGCUCACCAAGGCGACGAUCAGUAGCCGACCUGAGAGGGUGAUCGGCCACACUGGAACUGAGACACGGUCCAGACACCUACGGGAGGCAG
rnacentral:rRNA from 1 species